rnacentral:rRNA from 1 species
UACGUAGGGGGCAAGCGUUGUUCGGAAUUACUGGGCGUAAAGGGCGCGUAGGCGGCACGACAAGUCGGAAGUGAAAGCCCGGGGCUCAACCCCGGAAUGUCUUUCGAAACUGUCGAGCUAGAGUGCAGAAGAGGCAACUGGAAUUCCCAGUGUAGCGGUGAAAUGCGUAGAUAUUGGGAAGAACACCUGAGGCGAAGGCGGGUUGCUGGGCUGACACUGACGCUGAGGCGCGAAAGCGUGGGUAGCAAACAGG